CGGACGGGUGAGUAACGCGUGGGUAACCUGCCUCGCACAGGGGGAUAGCAGUUGGAAACGACUGAUAAUACCGCAUAAGCGCACAGUACCGCAUGGUACAGUGUGAAAAACUCCGGUGGUGUGAGAUGGACCCGCGUCUGAUUAGCUUGUUGGCGGGGUAACGGCCCACCAAGGCAACGAUCAGUAGCCGACCUGAGAGGGUGACCGGCCACAUUGGGACUGAGACACGGCCCAA
rnacentral:rRNA from 1 species